AGCGAACGCUGGCGGCAGGCCUAACACAUGCAAGUCGAACGGAUCCUUCGGGAUUAGUGGCGGACGGGUGAGUGACACGUGGGAACGUGCCCUUUGGUUCGGAACAACUCAGGGAAACUUGAGCUAAUACCGGAUGUGCCCUUCGGGGGAAAGAUUUAUCGCCAUUGGAGCGGCCCGCGUCUGAUUAGCUAGUUGGUGAGGUAACGGCCCACCAAGGCGACGAUCAGUAGCUGGUCUGAGAGGAUGAUCAGCCACACUGGGACUGAGACACGGCCCAGACUCCUACGGGAGGCAGCAGUGGGGAAUCUUGCGCAAUGGGCGAAAGCCUGACGCAGCCAUGCCGCGUGAAUGAUGAAGGUCUUAGGAUUGUAAAAUUCUUUCAGCGGGGACGAUAAUGACGGUACCCGCAGAAGAAGCUCCGGCUAACUUCGUG
rnacentral:rRNA from 1 species